rnacentral:misc_RNA from 1 species
AAAAGGUUGUCUGCGAUCCUUCCUACUUGCCCACCAAGGUGAGGAAGGUUGGUAAGGUUGCUAGGGCCAUUGCCAUAAUGAGCCACACAAUACCAAACACCAAUGAUUCCCAUUCGGUGCAGAUUAUUAUACCGCAGAAGCAGUUGGGUCGCAGAUCGGACAUGUAUGUUUUCUGUUGCUCUUACUCUCACAAUGUUGCUCCAAGAGGCAAGUUUAUUGCUUUUGUUACCACAGAAGCUGAGACCGAUCAUCCAGAGUCAGAACUAAAGCCAGGAAUUGACCUGUUGGGGGCCGUUGAUGAGAUAUUUUUUGAUACAUACGACAGAUAUGAGCCAGUCAAUGAACCAUCUCUGGACAAUUGCUUUAUAUCCAUGAGUUACGAUGCUACAACACAUUUCGAGUCAACUGUUGUUGAUGUGCUCAACAUGUAUACAAUGAUAACUGGCAAGGCUGUUGACCUGAGUGUGG